UUGACCUCGGAUCAGGUAGGGAUACCCGCUGAACUUACAACAGGGAUUGCUCUAGUAACGGCGAGUGAAGCAGCAAUAGCUCAAAUUUGAAAUCUGGCGUCUUCGACGUCCGAGUUGUAAUUUGUAGAGGAUGCUUCUGAGUAACCACCGACCUAAGUUCCUUGGAACAGGACGUCAUAGAGGGUGAGAAUCCCGUAUGCGGUCGGAAAGGUGCUCUAUACGUAGCUCCUUCGACGAGUCGAGUUGUUUGGGAAUGCAGCUCUAAAUGGGAGGUAAAUUUCUUCUAAAGCUAAAUAUUGGCCAGAGACCGAUAGCGCACAAGUAGAGUGAUCGAAAGAUGAAAAGCACUUUGGAAAGAGAGUUAAAAAGCACGUGAAAUUGUUAAAAGGGAAGGGAUUGCAACCAGACUUGCUCGCGGUGUUCCGCCGGUCUUCUGACCGGUCUACUCGCCGCGUUGCAGGCCAGCAUCGUCUGGUGCCGCUGGAUAAGACUUGAGGAAUGUAGCUCCCUCGGGAGUGUUAUAGCCUCUUGUGAUGCAGCGAGCGCCGGGCGAGGUCCGCGCUUCGGCUAGGAUGCUGGCGUAAUGGUCGUAAUCCG
rnacentral:rRNA from 1 species